rnacentral:rRNA from 1 species
GACGAACGCUGGCGGCGUGCUUAACACAUGCAAGUCGAACGGUGAAGCGCCUUCCUUUUUGGUGGGUGUGGAUGAGUGGCGAACGGGUGAGUAACACGUGAGUAACCUGCCCCCUUCUUCUGGAUAACCGCAUGAAAGUGUGGCUAAUACGGGAUAUUCUGGGUCUGUCGCAUGAUGGGUCUGGGAAAGAUAUUGUUUCGGUGGGGGAUGGGCUCGCGGCCUAUCAGCUUGUUGGUGGGGUGAUGGCCUACCAAGGCGGUGACGGGUAGCCGGCCUGAGAGGGUGGACGGUCACACUGGGACUGAGACACGGCCCAGACUCCUACGGGCGGCAGCAGUGGGGAAUAUUGCACAAUGGACGCAAGCCUGAUGCAGCGACGCCGCGUGAGGGAUGGAGGCCUUCGGGUUGUGAACCUCUUUCGCCAGUGAAGCAGGCCUGCCUCGUUUGUGGGUGGGUUGACGGUAGCUGGAGAAGAAGCGCCGGCUAACUACGUG